rnacentral:rRNA from 1 species
GACGAACGCUGGCGGCGGGCCUAAUACAUGCAAGUAGAACGCAGUUGCGAACGGGUGAGUAACGCGUAGGUAACUGCCUCAUAGCGGGGGAUAACUAUUGGAAACGAUAGCUAAUACCGCAUAAUGUGAGAUGGACCUGCGUUUUAUUUGCGAGUUGGGGGGGUAAAGGCUCACCAAGGCGACGAUACAUGGCCGGCCUGAGAGGGUGAUCGGCCACACGUGGACUGAGACACUGCCCCGACGUCCACGGGAGGCAGCAGUAGGGGAUCUUUGGCCAUGGGCGGAAGUCUGGCCGCGCAACGCCGCGUGAGUGAAGAAGGUUCUCCGGUUGUAAAGCUCCGUUGUUAGAGAAGCGGUAACUACCCAGAAAGGGCCGGCUAACUACGUGCCAGCAGCCGCGGUAAUAC